rnacentral:rRNA from 1 species
GACGAACGCUGGCGGCGUGCCUAAUACAUGCAAGUAGAACGCACAGUUUAUACCGUAGCUUGCCACACCAUAGACUGUGAGUUGCGAACGGGUGAGUAACGCGUAGGUAACCUGCCUGGUAGCGGGGGAUAACUAUUGGAAACGAUAGCUAAUACCGCAUAAUAUUGAUUAUUGCAUGAUAAUUAAUUGAAAGGUGCAAUUGCACCACUACCAGAUGGACCUGCGUUGUAUUAGCUAGUAGGUGAGGUAACGGCUCACCUAGGCGACGAUACAUAGCCGACCUGAGAGGGUGAUCGGCCACACUGGGACUGAGACACGGCCCAGACUCCUACGGGAGGCAGCAGUAGGGAAUCUUCGGCAAUGGACGAAAGUCUGACCGAGCAACGCCGCGUGAGUGAAGAAGGUUUUCGGAUCGUAAAGCUCUGUUGUAAGAGAAGAACGGGUGUGAGAGUGGAAAGUUCACACUGUGACGGUAGCUUACCAGAAAGGGACGGCUAACUACGUG